rnacentral:misc_RNA from 1 species
ACGAGUUAGGGUCUCCUAGGCCCGAUCUCCCAACCCUUUGUCUAUUGAACCACUGUUGCUUCGGCGGGCCCGUCUCACGACCGCCGGAGGGCCGUUAGACGCCCUCUGGCCCGCGCCCGCCGGCGGCCAACUAUCCAAAACUCUUGAAUCAAUCGUGUUUUCUGAGUACCAUUUUAAUUAAAACA